UCUUCUCUCCUUUGUGAGAGCCUUUCUCUCUACGUGAGGGUUUUCUCAGUGGUUUUUUUUGAGGGUUUCAAUUUUGUGCAAAUCUGGGGGCGCCAACCCUAGUUUCGGCUGGGGUUGGUUAGCCGAUCUUCCUUUCCUUUCUUUGUCUCCUUCCGUUCCUUCCUUCGGCAGCGUUUUACCCCUGCUCUCUUUUUCGUUUUGUCCUUUUCUACUUCUCCUACUGGCGUCCCUCCUCCUUCAUCCAUGCUCCAAUCUGCCAUCAUCUUGUUCUCCUGAGAUGGUGUGUAGAGCUUCGGUGCUUGCACAGGCUCGGGUGUUCCCAACACCAUAAACCUUUCUCUGUUUGCCUUUGUUGGCGGUGUUGCUCAUGGCUUCUCACAGGUUUUUUUCUUCUGGUAGCUGGAAUUCUUUUUCCGGUUGCUUGUUUUCUACGAUUGUGGAUGCGCACUAGGUGGUGCUUGGACUUGGAUGUUCUGAUCAAAGAGUUGACGUGUGGUCGGAGGCAUGGACUUGGGCGAAUUUUGGAACUACUGUUGCGGCGGUGGAUGUUGUCGACUUCUCGGCUUUCUUUUGUUUUUUUUGUUUUGGGCCCACACGGUUGGUUGGGCUUUGUUUCGACUUGUUUGGAUGGUCCAUUUUACUGAUCUUGGUACUCUUAUAUUUGGACCAUCGGUUGUUUAGUUUGUUUGUUUGUUUGCUUCUCUCUUUGUACUUCGGCUUUGCCCCGGAAUUUCAUGUCCAGUUUACCAAAAAGAAAACUGCUCUAAUUUUUUUUGUCUCAAUUAACUGCGCUUUUUUUUUUUUUUUGGAACAAAGGUAAAACCCAUUGGCAACUACAAAUCUACAAACUAAAGGCCCAAAGACGGAAAAACACAAACAAGCAAAAAAGGCCCAACCAAACGAGCCUAACCAACAGUUGGGGCCCAAAACAUAAACAAAGCUAAAGAAAACUGAGAAUUCUGCUGCAACCGCCAUCGCAACAGUGCAUCUUGACCUGUACAACUCCGCACCCCUAAUCGGACCUCGCCGAUCGCAACAUCCAACCUCGAGCACCUCUUCGAGCACAACCAUAAAGUGAAAAAGAGCUAGCGACCAAGUGAAAGAAGCCCAUUGGAUUCCGUAAGCAACACUAUCAGUAAAGGUAGAUAGAGAGAAGGUGGCGGUGUUGGGAACACUCGAGCCGGUGUAAGCACCAGAGCUCUACGCACCAUCUCGACAGACUGCAACAAAUAGUGGGGAAUUGUGACUGCAUAUUGGAGCUUGGAUGAACAAGGAAAAGGGACGCAUGUGGGGUAAGAAGAGGGCAAAUCAGAUGGAGAAUAGGGGAAAUAACAUAAGGGAGGAAAAAAAGCGGCAAAGAGAGAAGAGAGAAUGACUACUGACCCUGGCCGAAACCAGGGUCGACGCCACCGGAAUUGAAGAAAAUUGUAAUCACUCACGCAAACGGUGAGGAACACCUUCAAGCAGAGAAAAAGUCUCCCAAAGGGAGAGAAAUGUCUUUUUAGCAAUUUGAUUCCAAUUAACUGCUCUAAGCUUAACUUUUGAGCUAACCUACAAUGGGUGUUGAAUAGCAGCUAUUCUCAACAUGAUUUGAAUGCCUGUGCAAAAUAAAGACUGAUCGAUAUUUACUUGGAAAUGUUUUAUCUUAUAUGUUAAUUAUGGGAAUUUUCUACUAUAUAUAUACAUAUCAGAGGAGUUUCAUGUCAAAGUUCGGAACUUCGGUAGUGAAAGAGGAACACCUUCAAGCAGAGAAAAAUUAUGUACCUCUUGAAUUUCUU
rnacentral:lncRNA from 1 species